rnacentral:rRNA from 1 species
GAUGAACGCUGACAGAAUGCUUAACACAUGCAAGUCGACUUGAACUUCGGUUUGGGUGGCGGACGGGUGAGUAACGCGUAAAGAACUUGCCUCACAGCUAGGGACAACAUUUGGAAACGAAUGCUAAUACCUGAUAUUAUGAUUCUAUGGCAUCGUAUAAUUAUGAAAGCUAUCUGCGCUGUGAGAGAGCUUUGCGUCCCAUUAGCUAGUUGGAGAGGUAACGGGUCUCCAAGGCGAUGAUGGGUAGCCAGCCUGAGAGGGUGAUCGGCCACAAGGGGAUAGGGAAACGGCCAGUACGCAAUCGUGAGGAAGGAGUGGAGAACAGUGGAAAAAGGACCAAGAGUGUGAUGCAGGAAUUCGGUGUGUACAAUGAAGUUUGUGGGAAUGAAAAGGACUUUCAGUUGAGAAGAAAAAAAUGACGGUACCAACAGAAGAAGCGACGGCUAAAUACGUG